UACAGAGGGUGCGAGCGUUGUCCGGAAUUACUGGGCGUAAAGGGCUCGUAGGUGGCCAACUAAGUCAGACGUGAAAUCCCUCAGCUUAACUGGGGAACUGCGUCUGAUACUGGAUGGCUUGAGUUUGGGAGAGGGAUGCGGAAUUCCAGGUGUAGCGGUGAAAUGCGUAGAUAUCUGGAGGAACACCGGUGGCGAAGGCGGCAUCCUGGACCAACACUGACACUGAGGAGCGAAAGCCAGGGGAGCAAACGGG
rnacentral:rRNA from 1 species